UGUCUCACAGGGACAAGAUGUUCUCAUCCAAUCUUCCUUCUCACUAUCAGCUUUGGUAGUGCUUUUUUUUCCAUUUUCUUGGACUUCUAGAGGGAGCAUCUUACACCCUCCUCACGUGACUGCAGUAGUUCUAUAGGUUCCAUCUUCUCAAAGGGUACAGGGCUCAAUAAGUAAUCUUCCAGAGAGUUUUCUUAAGUCGUGGUUUAUAUUGUAUGUUCCUAUGUUGGCUUAUAUUGUAUGUACUUACAUACAGUAUAAGUACGUACAGUAUAAGCCAGCAUAGGUACAUGCAAUGUAAGUGCAUUGCCUUAUAUUGUCUGUACUUACACUGCAUGUAAGCAUGUCGCCUUAUAUUGUGUGUACUUAGACUCUGUGUACACUUGCACUGUAUGCGUCAGCUUACAUUGUGUGUAGACUGUACCACUUAUGAUCGGAGCUGCCCUGCCCUGGCACAUAGUCACAGUUAGGUAGAACAGUUAUAACAACUUUACUGUUCAUCUGUCUUUUGUGGGAUUUUGGGUAGAAAAUUCAUCAGUCCAGAGUGGGGACAAGUCCUAGCUGUCAGAUAGCCACUUGUUGACCCUUCCUGUUGUCUCACAGGUCGCCGAGGCUGCUGAUUUCCCCAGGAUCUGCCAUUUAGCUCAAGGAGCGGCAGCCAGAAGAUGUGUCAAAGCACCUUCUUCAGCAUCUCAGGGAAGGGCCACAGUGAGCGUGUUUUGCAACUCAUUGUUAAAUUGAGAAUAAAAAAUCCCCAGCUGCCUUCCA